AAAUCGGCCCUUUUCAGGGCCAACACAUUUUCUGUGAGAGUUGUAGU
rfam:Zootermopsis nevadensis contig29689, whole genome shotgun sequence.